GCGGCCGUCAGUCGACCCCAGACGCACCCGGCCGAUGAGGCCCGACACGCAAACCAAACCCACGCCGGAGGUCACAGGUUCGACUCCUGUCGGCCGCU
rnacentral:tRNA from 1 species